rnacentral:rRNA from 1 species
UACGUAGGUGGCAAGCGUUGUCCGGAUUUACUGGGCGUAAAGAGCGCGCAGGCGGUCGUGCAAGUCGCGUGUGAAAGCCCCCGGCUCAACUGGGGAGGGUCACGCGAUACUGCUCGACUCGAAGGCAGGAGAGGGAAGUGGAAUUCCCGGUGUAGUGGUGAAAUGCGUAGAUAUCCAGCGGAACACCAGUGGCGAAGGCGGCCUACUGGGCUCCACCUGACACUGAGGCGCGAAAGCGUGGGGAGCGAACAGG